GGUCUUCCCUUGCGUGACUGCCACCUCCAACUCACUACAGAGCAGCUGUUUGCUUUCUUUGCUGUCAUCUAUUCUCAAGUGGCUUGUCCUGCCAAACUGAUUCUCUGGAAUUCUGACAUCAAAAACUAAGGAGGGUUAUGCAUUGGGACCUUACAUUUGGAGACUUCUUCAUGGCUGCAGACAGCCCUACAACUCUGGCCUGCUGCCUUGCAGAGACAAGUGACUGGUCACAAGGGAAACCAGAUGAGGGAGAGAUGGAUCAGGUGAACCUAUCAUCCCUACUACAAGAACAUGUGUUCAGCUGGUAGCAGAUCAGUAUCAUCUUAUCCAGGAGUAAAGGAGAAUCUAUUUAUAUGCUCAUUACGUAUGCAGAGUUGUGAUCAAAGUGCUAUAGGUGAGAAGUCCAGGUGUCGAGUCUUUCAGGAUAUCAUCAUGGCUUAAUGCUCAGAUUUUGUUCUGGACUUCAUGACUUAAAUUUUGUCAUUUAUUCUGCAAAAUAUAAGCUAUAAUUACCUAGAAUUUGGUUUCUUUCUCCUAGAUAAUGGAUUCCAAUUAUUAUCACCUGCUUUCUUACUUACACUAAAUAGAGUAAACCACCUUUAUGGGCAUAAUAAAAUGUUUUUUCAUAACUGAACUUAUGAAGAUAUCCUGGACAGGUCACACAUGGAUGCCAGGCUUUGCUUUAUACUGUUUAAUAUUUAUUAACUACCUUGUGGACUGAAUCAAAUAGAAUAUGG
rnacentral:lncRNA from 1 species